rfam:Lactobacillus fermentum CECT 5716, complete genome.
CACACAAGAAGAGGUCGCACGACUCAUCAGUAUGGCGGGUUAGGCAAGCAAAUGCCCCAGCCCGUUUGAAAGGGUGUCGUGCCGAAACAUCGGUAAUUUUGCUGUUACCUUUGUUGGGACGUGGCUUAAGAGGCCACGGACUGUCGCAGUUUGCGGAGUGCUUCCAGAUAC